UACGGAGGGUGCAAACGUUGCUCGGAAUCAUUGGGCGUAAAGCGCACGUAGGCGGCACAGUGUGUCGGAUGUGAAAGCCCUCGGCUCAACCGAGGAAGUGCAUUCGAAACUGCUGAGCUAGAGUACGGGAGAGGGUCUCGGAAUUCCCGGUGUAGAGGUGAAAUUCGUAGAUAUCGGGAGGAACACCAGUGGCGAAGGCGGAGACCUGGACCGAUACUGACGUUGAGGUGCGAAAGCGUGGGGAGCAAACAGG
rnacentral:rRNA from 1 species